CCUUAGCAGGUUUGCAAUCACCUUGCUUGCUUGCAGCUGGGUAGCAGCUUCUGAGGCUUGUGGCCCCAUACACCUCCUUCUAGGCAAGCUUGCAACUUCUUACAACCCUGCAUAGAGGCUCCCUAAUACCGAGAACUUAACUCAGGCUACGGAAUAAGAGUGUUUCUGUGGAUCCUUUUAAACCCUCCAAAAUCAUUUCCUCUUCAAACAGAAACAGCAUGAUCAACUUUUAUUUUAACAAAAAGCUAAAAAUUCAAUUUCCUGGUAAUGAGAUUUUAAGGUGGGAAUGGUAUACAACAAGGAUCAAGAAACUUACAGUAUGACUGUAAGAGCUGACAGCAGUACGUUCAGAACAUCCAGACCAUUAAAAAGGACAGAGGAUCAGUAACAGAUGUGGAGUGAAAAACAAUGGACCACUAAGUCAGUUGCCUGAAUAGUAAUGCCGCAGCUGCUGCACUGUGGAGCAGGAAUCAAAACAAAGUGCUUCUAUUUUGGGCAGAAAAUUGGCUUCCCCUGCUUAACACAUGCACUCCAAAAAUCAGGUGCUGGAAAAGGUUUGGUGUAAUGACUACAUGUGUUCCUGAGUUUAAAGAUGUGCUGGUUGUGAUGCUACUCCUCAAGGUAAUACAAUCUGGAGAUAUUCCUCACUGGAAAAGGCCUUACAUUGCAAUGCUGUGAUGGCACUUGGCGUGUGCUUCCCUGCUUGAAUGUUUGGACACUAACAUGGCAUAUAUGACUGACAAACAAACACAAAUCUUUGGAAAUGGGAUAGAAAGGCACAGUUCAGCUAUGGGAGUAAAGAGGAAGUUGAAAAGUAUUCAGAGAAGUGGCUCACCUAGAUGUGAAAAAGAAUCGGUGUGGAAGGAGACCGAGCGCAAGGAGUACUACUGUGUAUCUUCUUCAGAUGGGCUGCAUUAACCUAAACUUUUGAUACAUGCAUUGUACUACCCCUGCAGUCAUUCCAUGAUGUGAUCCAUGUGCAUCAUCAUCACUAUUGGGUUAAUGACUGCUAGGGGCUCCCUACUCAAUAGUAGUUCUUCCUAGUUGUCGAACAGAACUUUGAACUUUGAAUGAACAUUGGCUUGUAAAAGGUAGGCUUAACAGGAGAGAGAUCAUGGGAAGCUUAUUUGACCCCAAGUAGCAGAUUUUCAGUACAAUCCAAUAAGCAGUCUACAAUGUGCUAUGUUUGUGUGUAAAGGGACAUCACAUUUCUACCAGGAGAAAGCCAUUUGUUCUGGGAUCCUACAGAGGUGCCAGUUCAUUGUUCCACUUAAAGUACCUCUGGGUUACGUGAGAGAAAAUGUGCUAACAGUAGCUCUCUCUGACCACUGAACAGAAAUGCAUCUUGGAAGGCCUACAUGUGUAAGGGUCUGUGCUACUCUUCUGUUGUCCUGGUUAUUUUAUUCAGGUCAGUCAGGACUGCUCAACUGAGAUGUCUGUUUGGAGCUUUUGCAGUAUUUGUUCAGGAUCACCUAAUACAUAUAAACAGAGUCUGAAACAGCUUUCAAGCCUUGGUAAGACCUGAGUGAAAGUGUGGAGUGGGGCUUGGGUUUUGGGAGGUUUUUUGGUAUUUGUUUGGCUUGGAUAUUGACAUGCUGGAAAGGAUAGACUUCAUCUCAGAAAUCCAAUAUUCACUCGGUGUAGGAUUGGAAUGACACAAAUGAUAAGAACAACAGAGGCUACUGGCUUUGGUUCAAAUGUAAUUUUAAAAGAAUUCUGCAUCUCCUGGAGUUAAUUUAUUGGUCAAGCAAUUUGACAACUUUUGAAAUACAUCCGCUUCCACCAUCUUUGGACUUUUCUAAUCUUUCUUUCAAAUCUCACGGAGGUAUAUAAAGGAA